rnacentral:rRNA from 1 species
AGAGUUUGAUCAUGGCUCAGGACGAACGCUGGCGGCGCGCCUAACACAUGCAAGUCGAACGAGAGAUGAGGAGCUUGCUCUUCAAAUCGAGUGGCGAACGGGUGAGUAACGCGUGAGGAACCUGCCUCAAANAGGGGGACAACAGUUGGAAACGACUGCUAAUACCGCGGGAUAAGCCCACGGCUCGGCAUCGAGCAGAGGGAAAAGGAGUGAUCCGCUUUGAGAUGGCCUCGCGUCCGAUUAGCUAGUUGGUGAGGUAACGGCCCACCAAGGCAACGAUCGGUAGCCGGACUGAGAGGUUGAACGGCCACAUUGGGACUGAGACACGGCCCAGACUCCUACGGGAGGCAGCA